UUACAACAACAAACACACAAUAAGACUCGUAUCAGCUAGAAUUGCCCAUCUCCAAAGAAAUCACACACUCGAAUCCAUUUAUGAUCCUAAGUUUCCAUCUGAACAGGAUGGAUUUCAUGGCACAUGCCCUCCAAAAUUCAACACCUUCCAAAUGAAAAUAGAAUCU